AUUGAACGCUGGCGGCAGGCCUAACACAUGCAAGUCGAGCGAGCGGCGGACGGGUGAGUAAUGUCUGGGAAACUGCCUGAUGGAGGGGGAUAACUACUGGAAACGGUAGCUAAUACCGCAUACCAUCAGAUGUGCCCAGAUGGGACUAGCUAGUAGGUGGGGUAACGGCUCACCUAGGCUACGAUCCCUAGCUGGUCUGAGAGGAUGACCAGCCACACUGGAACUGAGACAAGGUCCAGACUCCUACGUGAGGCAGCAGUGGGGAAUAUUGCACAAUGGGCGCAAGCCUGAUGCAGCCAUGCCGAGUGUGUGAAGAAGGCCUUCGGGUUGUAAAGUACUUUCGGCGGGGAGGCGUUACCCGCAGAAGAAGCACCGGCUAACUCCGUGCCAGCCGCCGCGGUAAUAC
rnacentral:rRNA from 1 species